rnacentral:lncRNA from 1 species
UCUGCUCUGGAUUGGGCAGUAUCAGAGGAUGGGAUGGAGCAAGAAGAUGACCAAGAAGAAAUGGAUGCUGGCGACUUAAGCUUGAACACCCUCUCUUACUAGCGUCCUUUCAUCUUUUUCCUCCGCGCCUUCGAUGCGCUGGUUGCUAAGAUGUCAGAGACUUUUUUCAGAGCGAUUGAUUAUGGUGCUAUAGAUAAAUAGUGCUAUGGUUGAUAGCGAACAUUUCCUUUCAGACGUCAAACUAGAAUGGCAUGCCCCG